UAUUCUAGACAAUACUUAAACAGGGUUUUUGUAAUGAUGUUGAUCAAAUGUCUGAGCUGAAAAUAACUUGUAGACAAUUUUUAAUACUGAAGAACCCUGUGGCAGGCUACUAAGCAUAGUUGGGUCACAUGCAGCAUAUUUGUAAGAGGUAUUUUCUUUUAAUUGUAGCUACUGUGGUUGCAUGCUUUCAUUGGGAUGGCUUGCUUGGGUAAGAAGCCAUUGGGGGCCUUGAAUUCAAGAUGUAUUCUAUCCAGUAGUCAUUUGCAGUAUUCUUGUACAACAUUUAACUUUUGAACAUGCAUGUGCUACCAUGGGUACUAAAUGGUGCCUUCAAUUUUCUUUCAGGUACAAAUGAUUUCGUAUAAAGGUACCACAUGUGGGUCCUCUUAACUGAAGGCACGGCAAGCUCCACACAAGGUCCUCAUUUCUGAAUUUCAAGGGCUCCUCUGACAAGUGGACAGUGCAGUGGGUGCACCUUUUCCAGAGGUAAGAAACUAAGACUGCUUUUAACCAUGGACGUACUACAGAAUACAUGAUGAUCUCACUUCAACUUGAACUCUCUCACUGAUUACUUGAUGAAAGUAAAAGAUCUGAUGUUCUGUAUUUUAAUUAACAAUUACCAUCUAUUUAAGUUAAAUAGAAAUGUGCCUAACUGCUACCUCUGUUGCAGGUGCCUGGAUGGAUGCUUGAAUAGAAGAUUUGCCAGAUAUUGUGCUGUCAAGAAUUUUACCAUUAAAAGUGUAUUA